GACGAACGCUGGCGGCGUGCCUAAUACAUGCAAGUUGAGCGAUGAAGAUUGGUGCUUGCGCCAAUUUGAAGAGCAGCGAACGGGUGAGUAACGCGUGGGGAAUCUGCCUUUGGGCGGGGGACAACAUUUGGAAACGAAUGCUAAUACCGCAUAACAACUUUAAACAUAAGUUUUAAGUUUGAAAGAUGCAAUUGCAUCACUCAAAGAUGAUCCCGCGUUGUAUUAGCUAGUUGGUGAGGUAAAGGCUCACCAAGGCGAUGAUACAUAGCCGACCUGAGAGGGUGAUCGGCCACAGUGCGAAUGAGACACGGCCCAAACUUCUACGGGAGGCAGCAGUAGGGAAUCUUCGGCAAUGGACGAAAGGCUGACCGAGCAACGCCGCGUGAGUGAAGAAGGUUUUCGGAUCGUAAAACUCUGUUGGUAGAGAAGAACGUUGGUGAGAGUGGAAAGCUCAUCAAGUGACGGUAACUACCCAGAAAGGGACGGCUAACUACGUG
rnacentral:rRNA from 1 species